rnacentral:misc_RNA from 1 species
GGAAGUAAAAGGUCGUAACAAGGUUUCCGUAGGUGAACCUGCGGAAGGAUCAUUAUUGUAUAACCGAGGUGCGAGGGCUGUCGCUGACCCGAAAGGUCGUGCACGCCCGAGUGCCCUCACACACAUCCAUCUCACCCCUAUGUGCACCACCGCGUGGGUCCCCCUUUGGCUUGUUCGGAGGGGGGCUUACGUUUUCACACAAACUUUGUAUGCAGCGUAGAAUGUAUUUUUUGUUUUUGCGAUCACGCAAUCAAUACAACUUUCAACAACGGAUCUCUUGGCUCUC